rnacentral:rRNA from 1 species
UACGUAGGGUGCGAGCGUUAAUCGGAAUUACUGGGCGUAAAGCGUGCGCAGGCGGCGCGUUAAGACAGGUGUGAAAGCCCCGAGCUUAACUUGGGAAUUGCGCUUGUGACUGGCGUGCUGGAGUGUGGCAGAGGGAGGUGGAAUUCCACGUGUAGCAGUGAAAUGCGUAGAGAUGUGGAGGAACACCGAUGGCGAAGGCAGCCUCCUGGGCCAGCACUGACGCUCAUGCACGAAAGCGUGGGGGAGCAAACAGG